UAGAUUGGCUUGGCUAAUAAAAACUUCUAAUUUUUAUUUUGGGGGUUCAAUUCCUCCUCAAUCUUA
rnacentral:tRNA from 1 species